ACCUGGAGGCAGCAGCAGAAGGACUGAAGGAUCACAGUGCUGCCACCGUGCUGCAGCCACCUGUGCCUUCCCACAGCCCUGCCCCUGGUGCCAGAGCCCUGUGCAGUGCUGGUGCUUGGAGGCUGAUGGUUCCAGCCUGACACAGCCUCCUUGCACCCUGCAUGGGUGGCAAACCCACCCAUAUUUGAUUUGUUACGCUUCCUUUUCUGGUUGGAUGUGCCAUUGUGCAGGGCAAUGAAACAUGUUUAAGGUGGUAUCUGUUGAAACAACCAUGAAACGCUUGUAUUCACAAGGUAUUUUAUUAGAAUCCUUCUAAUUUUAGCCUAAACCUAUUUUAUGGAUUUCACUUCAAAGCGUUAUUUAUAAAAAGAAUCACUGAAUCCUUAUAGCCUUAACAGUCAUGAGGUAAUCUUAGGAAAGUCAUUUAAGGAUGCUAAGGCAGCAAACAGUCCAAUAUGUCUAUGAAUUGGACCCCAUGUAAUUUUGAUCUUGUUGAAUUUGUGUACCCUGUCAUUCACAUCGGCUUGUUUUACUGUUCCUGCCCCCCUCUCCAAUAUAAUCCAGUCCCUUAGACCAUGUCAAUAGGGAUGUGCCAAGGCUCUAUGUCAUAGAGGGUUCAUUCUGUCUCCACAGGCUGCCCUUUCUCUGUCUCCAAGGCAAUAGAUGCAUUAAUGCACCCUCAGACAGUGGCCUGCCAUUAAAAUGCUCCUUUGUAAGUGCAUCUUUGGUAGCCUGGAGAGCUGACUACAUCAUGUGAACAUUUUUCAGUGCCACAAAAAGCUGGGGGAAGAGAGAAUUUAAUUUUGUUUAGCUAGGACUAAGUUGCCUUGAGCUAUUGGCACUCAUCUUUUCUUGGUGCAAACUUUUGUGUAGUCAAUUUCAGAGUCCCAUCAUUAACAGUUCUCAUUUCCAAAGAGUUUAUAAUGUAAAUGGGCAGAUAGUCAAGUCUUUUCCUCAAGCAGGGAUAUUACUAUUCACUGCUUUAGAGCCUUGGUGCAGUCUUUUUGGCAUGAACAGUUGCCUUAAUGCUCUUGCAGGUAAAACUCAAUUAUCUCACUGUCUGACUCACAGAAACCUCCACAGCUCUUAGGAGAGCACAGGCUGGUGGAGGAAAAGUGCAAGCAUUCUGCUCCCUAGAUGAUAUCUGGAGAGAAGGUGUCCUGAGGAUGAGGCCUGCAGGUGCCACGGGCUGUGCAUUUCUGCAGCACAGCCUGAGCCCCCUGAGCUGGACUGUCCCUGGCAGCAGUGGUUCUGGGCUGGCUGCUGCUGGGUUCCUCUCCUCUGGAACAGGACUGUCCCUGGCAGCAGUGGUGGGUUUCUCUGUGCUGAAGCUGUUGGCUCCACAGGAGAGCCCUUUCCUGCCCAGCUGGAUCACUCCCACCAGCCUCAUGGUCUGCACAUGACAAAGCAUUGAUGCAAUUCAGGACAUUCAUCCUCUGCUCUGGGCAGCUUCACUAAAAUACAAUCCUGUUUGACAGAUGUACUCCAGCACAUCUUUUUGAGAAAUCCUAUGCCAGCUCCUCUUGCUUUUGUCUGGGGCCAGGCCUUUGCUGGUGAAGCUCCUUCCAGGUGUUCACCCAAGUUUCUGAUUUAUCUCCUUUGUGUUCUGUGGAAAGUCAGGCUGCAGCAUUCAGGAACAAUGGUACAAUUAUGUAAGAGCUCUUUUUCCCUUUCAGAGAGGACAGAGUGAAAAUCUCCAGGGAUAUCUGUUUGUCUUUUGGCAGUGCUUGGCAAAUGCUUAAAUGCUGUUCGAUAUUAAACAAUCUUGCUUGUGACUGGCAUUUAAGAAGUAACAAAAUUAUGUUUGGUCGUGUUCUCUCAACUAACGUCUCUUAGGUGCUGUUGCAAAGACCUGGGGCAUGGUUGAGAGGGAGAAACCAUUUUAAUUAUUGCAGAGAAUAAAUUUAUCUAUCAUGAAUUGAAGAAUCAGCUAUGUAUGAGGACAAUUUUUGGGACGGCAAGUACUUGAGGGGGCAUUUAAUACUAAAAUGCUGAUCAGAAGCCUUAGGCAGUGUAAGGAAUGUGCAGGGACAUUAGUGAUGAAUGGUCUGUGUUGAGUGUGCACUGCAGGGUUGUGCUCCACAAGGUGACAGAUCACACACAUCCAGCAGUGCAGCUGACCAAGGUUCUCCAUGGGACAUCCACUUAAUUGUGCUUUAAACAAAUCACAUUAUUGGUCUAUUGGCUGAAUCCAACCCCUUCUUUGUGGUAUGCUAAGAAGCACACAUGAGUUAUUACAGUGGAAAGUGCUUUAAAAACACUAAUUGACUUUGUGUCAAGGGGCCUGAUUGUACAUCUCUGAACGAAUUCAAUUAAAUGGUGUAGGUGGUUUUAUUUUGGAUCUUAGCCAAUUUUGCUUCCAGCUCUCAUUUGGGGGAUAUUUUUUAACCUUAUUGAACUUAAAGAACAAACAACAAUUUUCUGUUGCUCUAGGCAUUUUCUUCCUUAAAAUUUCCCUUUUCUAAAUACUGAAGCAAAUUUUUACAGGGCUGGUUUGCACCACUUUGCACUGGUGUUUCUGAAUAGAAAUUUGUGAUUUAUUUUCGAGAUUUAAAAAUAGUUUCUUAUUUAUUUUGGUUAUUUCAGGGAAGAAAUUUCACGGGAAAUCAAUAGUUUUAAAGUACAUUUGCAUUUUACCAGCAGAAAGUUAAAACAUUAAUUGUUCUUUAAUAAACUCCAUCUGAAUGACAGAUAUGAUAAAAGCAAAGAUGAAUAUUUCUGUGUCCUGAAACAAUGUUCCUUCCCCCUCUGCACCCAGAUGUUUUCUCCUAACAGUUUAUUCUUUCUUUUUCUCUAUGUAAAUAUUAUGGGACUCUGAUGGGAAAGAAGCUGAUGGCCAUCGUAUAAUAAAUAUCUGUUCUCCUGUGCUUAUUAAGUGGUGUGCAAACCUCUUUAUAUGAAUGAUCCCCUGGAAAGGCUUAACUUUGGAGAGACUUCACCUUCCAUUACAAUAAUACAAUACCUCACUCUUG